rfam:Rattus norvegicus chromosome 13, whole genome shotgun sequence.
GGGGAUUUAGCUCAGUGGCAGAGCGCUUGCCUAGGAAGCGCAAGGCCCUGGGUUCGAUCCCCAGCUCCG